rnacentral:lncRNA from 1 species
UUUCGUAGACUUUGUAUAUACAUCCCAAGUAAUAUUUCACAACCCUGUAACAUUUGCUUCCUAUUCCUUGGGUUAUAAUUUGGUCUCAGUGAAGAAAUUCUUCAUAUACACUUUAUAACCAGGGUCUUAGAAUACAUUUUCUGUAUAAAAUAACAGUUAAAAUGAAAUUAAUUAAAAUUAAACAAACUAUCCAAUUUUCUAAUGAUAUUUUCAACCAUUUUGUGUUACCAGCAUUGAAUUUAAAAUGAUUUUUGUAAAGUUACUCAGCAGCUGUUAGAAAUGUCAUAGAAAGUCAGAAAUGUCCGUACUUUAUCCUUUAACAAAUUCCCUUUAAUAUUUCUCCACUUUCAUGAAGCAUCAUCACACUAAUAGAAAAAGGACAUUUUGGGGAAAAUAUUUGUUUUAUAUAAUUCAAAAAAUGACCGAUGCCAUCUGCACUGGGUUAAGGACUACAAUAUCUGAAGGUUUGAAGAGUUCUUCUAUAUGACUUUCAGUUACUUUUACUGGUAAGAAAGCUAAAAUAUAAAGUAAAAACUUAACUUAGAAGCUGGGGAGGGAAGAGUUGUCUUUUAAAAUCUUGGUCCUUUACCAACAUCCCUUUUUUCCCAGCCCACUGUUGUGUGCCCAUUUAUUGCAGAUCAGGAUUUCUGUGCUAGAAGAGACCCUAGAAAUAACUUGGCUCUUCUCUCUGCCACACAUGCAUUCAUCAUCAGGGCACUGAGGCUCAGCAGAGGUUGUAGACUAAGUAAGGCCCAUGGCUAAGAAGCUGGGCCAUAGUCAAACCUUGUCUCUAGUCCCGUUCAUGUUGAUGCCUCUUUGCCUCUAGUUAUCCAGACUUUGGUAAAUGUGAUAUGAAACACUUCCAUUUCUGCUGUUUCUUUGUUUCUGCCCCAGUACCUGAUGAACACAUUAAGAAAGAUAUUAAUUCCAGAGGGAAAAAAAGUAAAAUAAUUAAUACAGAUGGGGAUGUGUUCAAAAUGCACAUUAUUCUUUUCUAAUUUAUGCCUUGUGAAUUUUCUACCACAUAACAGUUAUAUGCUGCCAGGUUAUUUGUAUUUCUGGGGAUUUGUUUAAAUGCAAAAUAAACCCAAUGAAAUUUCCUUGAUCAGUGUUUCUAACUAUUUAAAAGCUAUACUGCGGAGGAUUGCAAAGUAAAGAUAAAGCUCAGUUCCAUUAAUUUUUAAUCUAGAGAGAGAAUGUUCCUUACUGUGCUUAGAGAAGAUUAAGAGCAAUAUUCCUCAAUGUGAUUGAAGAGAUUUACAGUGAGUGUAAAUGUAUGAGUCCAUGAGCAGUGGUCUCUGUCAUUAUAACAUAAACCGUAUAAAAUGACUCAAGGGUGGUAGUCUUAGCCACAGAGUGCAGUGUCUCCAACCGGUAGUCUCAUCCCACUUAGUAGCUUUUAAAUUUGUUAGAAGAGCUCUCUCGUGCUGUG